rnacentral:pre_miRNA from 1 species
CAUAUACUUCCUCCGUCCGGAAAUACUUGUCCUAAAGAUGAAUGUAUCUAGACUUAUUUUAGUUAUAGAUACAUCCAUUAUAUCCAUUUUUAGGACAAGUAUUUCUGGACGGAGGGAGUAUGUA